UACGUAGGGGGCAAGCGUUGUCCGGAUUUAUUGGGCGUAAAGAGCGUGUAGGCGGCCAGGUAGGUCUGCUGUGAAAACUCGAGGCUUAACCUCGAGCUGUCGGCGGAAACCAUCUGGCUAGAGUCCGGAAGAGGAGAAUGGAAUUCCCGGUGUAGCGGUGAAAUGCGCAGAUAUCGGGAAGAACACCAACGGCGAAAGCACUCUGCUGGGCCGACACUGACACUGAGAGACGAAAGCUAGGGGAGCGAAUGGG
rnacentral:rRNA from 1 species